rnacentral:rRNA from 1 species
GAUGAACGCUAGCGGCAGGCCUAACACAUGCAAGUCGAGGGGCAGCACAUAAAGUGGUUUACUACUUUUGGUGGCGACCGGCGGACGGGUGCGUAACGCGUAUGCAACCUGCCUCCAACAGGGGGAUAACGGAGAGAAAUUUCCACUAAUACCCCAUAAUAUCAGAAUCGGCAUCGGUUUUGGUUGAAAACUCCGGUGGUUGGAGAUGGGCAUGCGUUGUAUUAGAUAGUUGGUGAGGUAACGGCUCACCAAGUCAACGAUACAUAGGGGGACUGAGAGGUUAGCCCCCCAAACUGGUACUGAGACACGAACCAGACUCCUACGGGAGGCAGCAGUGAGGAAGAUUGGUCAAUGGGGGCAACCCUGAACCAGCCAUGCCGCGUGCAGGAAGACGGCUCUAUGAGUUGUAAACUGCUUUUACAAGGGGAUAAAUCGGUGUACGUGUACACCGUUGAAGGUACCUUGGGAAUAAGGAUCGGCUAACUCCGUGCCAGCCGCCGCCGUAA